rnacentral:rRNA from 1 species
UACCAGCACCCCGAGUGGUCGGGACGAUUAUUGGGCCUAAAGCAUCCGUAGCCGGUCCUGCAAGUCUUCCGUUAAAUCCAGCUGCUCAACAGAUGGGCUGCGGGGAUGACUACAUGGCUAGGAGGCGGGAGAGGCAAGCGGUACUUUAUGGGUAGGGGUAAAAUCCGUUGAUCCAUAGAAGACCACCAGUGGCGAAGGCGGCUUGCCAGAACGCGCUCGACGGUGAGGGAUGAAAGCUGGGGGAGCAAACCGG